UACGUAGGGUGCGAGCGUUAAUCGGAAUUACUGGGCGUAAAGCGUGCGCAGGCGGUUUUGUAAGCCAGAUGUGAAAUCCCCGGGCUUAACCUGGGAAUGGCAUUUGGGACUGCAAGGCUUGAGUGCGGCAGAGGAGACUGGAAUUCCUGGUGUAGCAGUGAAAUGCGUAGAGACCCGGAGGAACACCAGUGGCGAAGGCGGCUUCCUGGUCUGCGACUGACGCUGUGGCGCGAAAGCUAGGGGAGCAAACGGG
rnacentral:rRNA from 1 species